GUAGUCGUGGCCGAGUGGUUAAGGCGAUGGAUUAGAAAUCUAUUGGGCUCUGCCUCGCAGCUUAGAAUCCUGCCGACUACG
rnacentral:tRNA from 1 species